CAUUAAGUGGCUGAAAGAAAGCUUUGGUCUCUUAAACCAACAAAUAGUAAUUAUUGACUACUCUUAAUGG
rnacentral:tRNA from 1 species